rnacentral:tRNA from 1 species
CUGGUGUGAGCUUAAUAGUUAGAGGUGUGGAGUUUGGUUUUUAGGGUUUGGUUGGUUAUCUGGUGUGUCAGA